CCCCUUUGCCAAAGGGCUUGCUGCUCAAGAUAAGUUAAAUCUGGAUCUGUUUCCGGGAGUUAAAGGUCUUGAGCACUCGCGUGGCUUUGCUGCAACUGCACAGCAUCGGGGUCGAAGGUGGAAUCUAAGCCCACCUGGCUCCUUCCCUUCUCCCUGGAAUCUGCAGGCUCCCAGGCCAAACCCAGCGCACUCCUUCGGAAACAGGGUUCUGUCUUGACAAGCCGGAACACUGCUGGAGCUGGGAACGAGUAGAAGCUUCUCUGCCAGAAUCGUCUAGAGCCUGGCUGCUCAAAGGGUGGUUCGGGAACCGAAGCGUAUCAACACUACUUGGUACGAAGAUCUCAGCUUCACCUCAGACAAGCUAACUCAGAACCUGCAUUUUAACAAGAGAUCCACCCAUGCAUGAUUUGACUGCACUUUAAAGGUUUUUACUUAUAGUAUUUUAACUGCAAGGAUUUUUCUGCUACACGGACCAAGAGAAGAGGGCCGGGGACUGAAUCUGAGAAACCCAACAUGGAAGAAGGGGGUUGAUGAGGAUGAGCUGCCCGGAAAGCUAGGAGAAAACCCGGUGGGCUUGACUCACGGAAGCCCAGAGCAAUGACCUUUUAAGGACAUAAUUUUUGUCAGUUUCUCUUAUCACGCUGACAAGCAUGUAAUGAAAGCCCUCCAUAAAUAUUAGCCAUUGUUCCUGC